rnacentral:lncRNA from 1 species
CUCCUGGACAGUUGAAGAUCAGUGUGGGUCUACGUCUGGACAGUUCAAGGGUCAGUAGUGUGCGUCUACUUCUCCCCACAGUUAAUAAGGAUCAGGCAGGGAGAUCUCGUCCAUGGUGGACAGGCAGGGAGAGUCAGGCAGGAGAGUCCAGUCAGGGAGAGUCCUCAUCCAUGGUGGACAGACAGGAGAGAGUCAGGCCAGGGAGGAGUCUCGUCCAUGGUGGACAGGCAGGGGAGUCUCGUCCAUGGGACAGGCAGGGAGAGUCUCGUCCAUGGGACAGGCGGGAGAGUCAGGCCGGUGAGAGUCAGUCAGGGAGAGUUCUAAUCAUGGUGGACAGACAGGGAGAGGCAGGCCAGGGAGAGCUCGUCCAUGUGGACAGUCAGGGGUAGUCUCGUCCAUGGGUGGACAGGCAGGGAGAGUCUCGUCCAUGGUGGUCAGGCAGAGAGAGUCAGGCAAGGAGAGUCAGGCCAGGGGAGAGUCAGUGCCAGGGUUCCCUCGUCCAUGGUGGACAGCAGGGAAGUCUCGUCGAUGGUGGAACAGGCGGGAGGUCUCGUCCAUGUGGGUCAGGCAGGGAGAGUCAGGCAGGGAGAGUCUCGUCCAUGGUGGACAGGCAGGGAGAGUCCUUCGGAUGGGGACGUCAGGGGUCUCGUACAUGGUGGACAGGCUGGGGAGUCUCGUCCAUGUGGACAGGAGGAGAGUCUCCGCAUGGGACAGGCCAGGGAAGUGUCCUUCCAUGGUGGGACAUGCAGGGAGAGUCUCGUCCAUGGUGGACAGCAGGGAGAGUCUCGUACAUGGGGACAGGCAGGGAGAGUCUCGGACAUGGUGGACAGGCGAGGGAGAGUCUCGUACUGUGGGACAGGCAGGGGAGGUCCUCGAUACAUGGUGACAGGCAGGGAGAGUUCUCGUACAUGGUGGACCGAGCAGGGAGUCUCGUCCAUGGUGGACAGGCAGGGAAGAGUCUCGUCCAUGGUGACAUGCAGGAGAGUCCUCGUACAUGGUGACAGGCAGGGAGAGUUCCUCGUACAGGUGUGGACAGGCAGGGAGGUUCUCGUACAUGGUGGACAGGCAGGAGAGUCUCGUACAUGGUGGACAGGCCAGGGAGAGUCCGUACAUGGUGGACAGGCAGGGGAGUCUCGUGACAUGUGGACAGCAAACCCUCAACCUUCUGGCCUGUUGGCCCUGCGUGGCAUCAGCUGUGGUCACAAGAAUGCUGAAGUUGUAAAGACGUAUUGUCCCUGUUAUAAAAAACACAGGCUUGCACAGUUUUU